UUCGCAAUGCCCGAAAGGGUGACGAAGCGACGCCGCGUGUGGGAAGAAGGCCUUCGGGUUGUAAACCACUGUCGGGAGUUAAGAAAUGCAAGGAUAUGAAUAGUGUCUUUGCUUGACUAAGGCUCCGGAGGAAGCCACAGCUAACUCUGUGCCAGCAGCCGCGGUAAUACAGAGGCGGCAAGCGUUGUUCGGAAUUAUUGGGCGUAAAGAGCACGUAGGCGGCUGUGUAAGUCGGUUGUGAAAGCCUUCCGCUCAGCGGAAGAACAGCAUCCGAUACUACAUGGCUUGAGUGUGGGAGGGGAGAGUGGAACUCCUGGUGGAGCAGUGAAAUGCGUAGAUAUCAGAAGGAACGCCGGCGGCGAAAGCGGCUCUCUGGCCCAUAACUGACGCUGAGUGUGCGAAAGCUAGGGGAGCAAACGGGAUUAGAUACCCCGGUAGUCCUAGCCGUAAACGAUGGGCACUAAGUAGAGGGGUUUU
rnacentral:rRNA from 1 species